rnacentral:tRNA from 1 species
GUAUAGGUGGCAGAGUUAGGUUUAUUGCGAAUGUCUUGAAAACAUUUGACGGUUAAUCCCGUCCGUAGGUUCAAAUCCUACCCUGUACG